GCCCCAAUCUAAUUACAGACAUCCUUAUAAGGGCAAGAAGGAAGUAGAAAAAUCAAAGACAAAGAUUUGGAGACGCUUUGCUGAUGACUUUGAAGAUGGAAGAAAGAGUUAGGAGGUUAAAAUUCAAACUAAGUAAGCAAGAGAAGUUAAGACCCAGUGUGCAUCCUGAGACGACAGGAAAGUACUUUCCACAUUUAACCAACUCCACUCAGCAAGCUUUACUGCUACAAACCAACCUGUUGCAGAAAAAUGGAGACAAGAGAAAGAGACAAAGAAUUGGAAGAAAGUUUACCAUAGCAACAAAACUUCUUCAAGUAGAAUGGAGGUGGGCUUGAACCAAGUUCCUGUGCAUGAAAAAGGAGGCACACUCCCCACUUUAGCUGUCUUCCCAGUUCAGUUACACUGAUUUUAAUCAUUUCACAUCUAAAAUUAAUAGAUACUCAGUGAUAGAAAAUUGUCUCUCCAGAAGAAUAAGAUUAAAAGCAAUAAGAAAAGUUUCAUUCAAAGAAAAUCAA